rnacentral:lncRNA from 10 species
GCCUCCAUACUUAGCGAUGGCCUCCUGGACCCACUUUCUCUCUCAAACUGUCUUUUCUCAUUCCUUUGACUCUGCUGGACUUCGUCAUCCCCACGACCCGGUGUUGAGUCUGAUCACCCAACAUCAUCAGGUAGCUAUCCAAAUUAAGGGUGACAAACUCAUGCCUUAGGAUGUAGGACUCUUCAGAGCAUGAGGUUUACUCAUUGAAGAAAGAAAGGCACUGUGAUGAACUCAAACUCCUAAGAAUAAACAACUUCUCAUGAAGGGGGCUUAAAUACAUCUAUCACAUUUAAGAUGAGAACAAGCAGAUUACCCCAGAGACAAUGAGAACAUUGAGAUGAGAACAAGCAGAUUACCCCAGAGAGAAUGCAGCAGUCAAAGACAAAGUGUGGAAUAGGCAGAGGCAAUAUUGUGCAAAACACAUUAGAGGAAUGCAUAAGUACUACAAAAACUUCUAAGAAAAGAAAUAUCAAAGAUGCCAUCCUCAAAGACUGCAUGUGGGAGAAAUACCUAGGCAAGAACUAAGAAUCUCAUAAGAAAUGCCUGAAAUAAAAUGUGAACAUCUCUGCAUGGACUAAUCAAUACAGAAUAAUGUACCACUCGAGAGGAUGCAUAUGAGACUGAUACUGUUUUUGCUGUUCUGAUACUGGAUAAAAAUUCUCACCUAUUCUUUAGAAAAGGAACAGGCAUUGAAAUUCUGAUGCCUUCAAUGCAUAAUUAAGUUUGUUGCAAAUAACGUUAUAAAAUCCUGUUUAUGUUUCUCAUUAUAGAAUUUGGUUGAAUAUUUCUCAGCACAUCUCUUUAAUCAUUUUAUUGUUAUUGUUAUAAUAUGAAUAACUGAAUUGGUAGAUGAUAAUGUGUUUUAGAGAUUCAGAGUCACAUCCAAAAUUAUUUGAAUAAGCGAUUUACAAAAAAACUAAAUAUGGAUAAGUACCAUAAAAAUGUACAAUUCUCGUCAGAUUCAAAUAAUGUAAAUUAACAUGAGAUGUCGAUUUUCACCUUACAAAAUGGCAAAUAUGUUUUAAAAUAAGAGCAAAUUUGUUAAGAUUAUAUGAACUGCUGAUGAAUAUGUAAAUGUGCACAACCAUUCUGGAUAUUUUAAAUCAAAAUAAUAUAUUUAAGGAAUAUAAAGUAUUGUAUUAUUAUUUCUUAUUGCAAUAUACUAUGUAGCCUGAUUUAUGCUGGGAGAAAUAUUUAAAUGAUUGUAUAUUCACUCAUUUCUCCUUUCAACAAAUAUUUACUAAGCACCUAUUACAGACUUCACGCUAGAUGUGCAAUGAAUGAAAUAUGUCCUCAUGCAUAUAAU